CUCUUCUAUUAUUUAUGCUUUUAUGUUUAAUUGAUUUCGCCUUCAUGUUUCGUUAUUGAAAUACCUUCGUUUUAUAGUUCUUAUGUGAUUUUAAAUUAAUUAAGAGGUCUUGAUAGAUUAUUGUUAAGAUAUGAGUUUUUCAUAAUCCAUGCUUGCUCAAAGAAGUUUUGAUGGGUUAUAGUUAAUCCUUAAAUUUUCAUAGUCUAUGCUUG
rnacentral:lncRNA from 1 species